UAAAAUCUUCAGGGCAGGGUGCAAUUCCCUACCGGUGGUAAAGCCCACGAGCCGCAAGGCAUGAUUCGGUGCAAUUCCGAAGCCGACAGUAUAGUCUGGAUGAAAGAAGAUUGGA
rfam:Eubacterium plexicaudatum ASF492 genomic scaffold acLZb-supercont1.11, whole genome shotgun sequence.